ensembl:lncRNA
GGAUCCAGGUGAAGCAGUUUGUAGAAGAAUUAUGGAGUCUCAGAGGGUGGGAAGACAGAGUAAGUCAGCAGUGUCCUAUGACAGGCAGAGGACAGAUUGCAGCUACCGUGCCUGGAGCAGCAGGUACAGGCAGGCUGGGCCCCAGUGAAGAGAUGGACAAAAGAGAAACUGAGGUCUUCUGCAAGCAAAGAACCGUUAACAAAGCUGGUCAGAGACCCCAGAGAAAGGGGGGCCCUCUCUUGUCACACAGGGAGGGAGGGGGAUGUUACAAUUGGCUAUACUGAGAAAAGCGGGUUGGCAUGCAGCUGUGGCCCAUCACAGCGCUCUCUGACAACAGAAACGUUCAUCUUGUCCCCUCGGAGGAAAUCAAACCUCCCCAACUGCACAAGGACAGACAAGAACAGAAGGCUUGCCAGGGCAGGGGAGGGAGGGGGGCACCAGCUUCAGCCGCUUGGGGCUUAUGGACGUUCCUAGGGCUCAGGUGCAGAGAUCACAGCAGAGGAGAGGGCAGUGUCCUUGGAAUCAGCAGGACCUGACUUCAAAACUCUCACUCCUGGCGUGACCCGAGAAGAUGAGUGGGGUAGACUUGAAUGUGCCUGCUGGCCCUCCACCUCUGAUUAACUGAAGGGAUGGAGAUGUGGAGCUCGAAGAAGAGAAGGCUCGUGGAAAAGGAAGGCAGGAAGGGGUCCUAUCAGAUCCUCACAACGACCCUGUGAGAACUUGGGCCCUUUUGGGAGCCAGACACAGAGCCCAGCUGGAACCAUCUGGUCACGUGGGGAAGGAUGGGCCAAUAGGCGAGCGACUUCGGCCCCGCCUCGCGGGAUCUUCCUGGGCGUCAACACUUUCCCGCCUACCCUGGGACCCAGCUCAGGACCAUGGGCAUCAGCCUGUUCUUCCUGCUCUGCCAUGGGUUCUCUCUCACAGAGCUGUGCCAGGUCUGGGAGGGCAUCCUAGGUCUACAGGCGCUCCCACCCCCCAGGAUUUUCUUGGAGCCCACGUUUCCGGUAAAGCUCGGGGACUUGGUGAAGUACGAGUGUGUGGGGGCCUACGGCUCAUUGCAGUGCCUCCUACUCCGAGUGGAUCGUCCAGGAAUGAGUCCUAGGGUGGUGUUCCGAGAGGAUGCCAUUUGGGAAGGAAGGGUAGGCUGGUUCUUCAUGGACAACGUCGCCGCCCAGCACACGGGGAUCUACACCUGUGUCUAUUACUUCAACGGGUUCUAUUCCAAGAACAGUAAUGAGCUGCCACUGAUCAUAAGAGAUGUCUUAGAGAGCCCCUUCCUUUGGGUCUCUCCCUCCACCUCAACCUUCUUUGGCCAGAGCUUGACCUUCCACUGUAACUCCACCUUAGCCUUGGACAAGUACUAUUUGUAUCAUGGCUCCAUCGAAGCCGAAAAUCCGUUUAUUGAGUCCCUGAACAGCUCGGCACACGAAGGUCAAUUCUACUACCCAUAUGUGCACAGAUAUGUGCUGGGCCAGUAUCUGUGCAUGGCGUACAACUCCCAGAACCCCUACCUCUGGACGGGCAUCAGUAACAAGUUGCUGAUCACUGCUGGAGCCCCUCCUUUCCUGUUUGCUCCCGGGCCUCAUCUCAUCCACAUGGCUCUGACCUCAGCCGCCCUCGGAGAGCUGCUGGCCUAGGCUGGGCUGUAAGGGAUGCUGUGGAGGGCAGCAGCAUCCAGGGGGCUGGAGGUGGUCCCACCCUCACACCUCCCUCCACCCAUCUGUGAAAAGCAGAAUAAAAAGGUGAUUGUCCAUCCGAGCUGUGUGGCU